UGUCAUAAAUGCAUCCUUAUGACUGUUGAAUGGAACCGCAGAAACUGCGCGAACAGUUUUUGCGGUGUGGAUUAAGCAGGUCCCUGACCUGCUUUUU
rnacentral:antisense_RNA from 1 species